rnacentral:misc_RNA from 1 species
GCGCCGUCAUUUGGGGAGUAGCCGAUUUCCGGACUGCGGAAAUGUACGUGUCAACAUACUCGUUGCAAAACGUGGCGCGUACGGACUAACAAUCAGGUUAGUCAGGCGAGACCAUAGGCACAUCA